rnacentral:tRNA from 1 species
GUCCCUGUAGCUCAGAUGGAUAGAGCAUUUGCCUUCUAAGCAAAGGGUCGCCUGUUCGAAUCAGGCCAGGGACGCCA